GACGAACGCUGGCGGCGUGCUUAACACAUGCAAGUCGAACGGAAAGGCCCUGCUUUGGUGGGGUGCUCGAGUGGCGAACGGGUGAGUAACACGUGAGUAACCUGCCCUUGACUUUGGGAUAACUUCAGGAAACUGGGGCUAAUACCGGAUAGGAGCUCCUGCUGCAUGGUGGGGGUUGGAAAGUUUCGGCGGUUGGGGAUGGACUCGCGGCUUAUCAGCUUGUUGGUGGGGUAGUGGCUUACCAAGGCUUUGACGGGUAGCCGGCCUGAGAGGGUGACCGGCAACAUUGGGACUGGGAUACGGCCCAGACUCCUCCGGGAGGCAGCAGUGGGGAAUAUGGAACAAUGGGCGGAAGCCUGAUGCAGCAACGCCGCGUGCGGGAUGACGGCCUUCGGGUUGUAAACCGCUUUCGCCUGUGACGAAGCGUGAGUGACGGUAAUGGGUAAAGAAGCACCGGCUAACUACGUG
rnacentral:rRNA from 1 species